rnacentral:lncRNA from 1 species
GACAAAGUUCAAUCAAAUCUUGAGACGAGAGAUCGAGAUAGAAGAAAGCAGGAAAGAAAAGAAACCUGGGAAUCGGGAGGCUGGAGGUGAGAAGUGAUCCUCGCAAUACGUCGGGAAGCCUCGGCGCUGCGCUCCAUUCUUUGAGGCCCGAUCUCCAACCAACUAUGUGAGAGGGAGAGGAAAGGAGGCCAAGGCUGGGGUCGGUUGAGAAGAAGCGAGAAGGCGAUGGUGAUGCGAGAGUGACGAUAUAAAGAGACAGAGUUUGGUUUGGAGAGAUUGGGAAGCGUGGGGACGAAUGAAUUUGGGAAUACAACGCCUCUCGAUCCUUAUCCUUCUGCUGUGGUUAUCGCACUCUUGAAGGCUUCGAGGUCGCACAACCCUGGCCGUCCUUGGCGUAUAAUUCUGUUGAAAGAAGCUUGAGACGCCUGAGACUCG